GACGAACGCUGGCGGCGUGCUUAACACAUGCAAGUCGAACGGACAGGCCCUGCUUUUGUGGGGUGCUCGUUUGGCGAACGGGUGAGUAACACGUGUGUAACCUGCCCUUGACUUUGGGAUAACUUCAGGAAACUCGGGCUAAUACCGGAUAGGAGCUCCUGCUCCACGUUGUUGGUUGGAAAGUUUCGGCGGUUGGGGAUCGACUCGCGGCUUCUCCGCUUGUUGGUGGGGUAGUGGCUUACCAAGGCUUUGACGGGUAGCCGGCCUGAGAGGGUGACCGGCGACAUGGGGACUGAGAUACGGCCCAGACGGCUACGGGAGGCAGCAGUGGGGAAUAUUGCAGAACGGGCGGAAGUCUGAUGCAGCAACGCCGCGUGCGGGAUGACGGCCUUCGGGUUGUAAACCGCUGUCGCCGGUGACGAAGCGUGAGUGACGGUAAUGGGUAAAGAAGCAACGGCUAACUACGUG
rnacentral:rRNA from 1 species